UGGGAGUGCGGAGCAAUCCGAGCCCAAGACAGGUGCUGCAUGGCUGUCGUCAGCUCGUGUCGUGAGAUGUUGGGUUAAGUCCCGCAACGAGCGCAACCCUUGUCUCUAGUUGCCAUCAUUCAGUUGGGCUACUCUAGAGAGACUGCCGGUGAUAAACCGGAGGAAGGUGGGGACGACGUCAAGUCCUCAUGGCCUUUAUGCCUAGGGCUACACACGUGCUACAAUGGAUCGUACAAAGGGUCGCGAACCCGCGAGGGGGAGCCAAUCCCAAAAACCGGUCCUCAGUUCGGAUUGGAGUCUGCAACUCGACUCCAUGAAGUUGGAAUCGCUAGUAAUCGUGGAUCAGCAUGCCACGGUGAAUACGUUCCCGGGCCUU
rnacentral:rRNA from 1 species